GUGACUGUUAUGUUAAAGGAGUUUGACGAAAAAGAAAGGAGAUGAUGGUCGAAAGAAGCCCCUGGCAAAAGGCCAAAUGGAUGAAGGAAUCGAUUCCCAGAGGUGAUUCCUUCAUCGGAGAAAGAAAAAAUUGGCGAGUCGAAGCUUGAGACAUUUUGUGAAGAGGGCUGAAGCGAAUGCUCUACUGUCACACACUUUUGGCUGGAUUCGUCGGAGAUUGCAAAAAAGGACUGAAAAGUUUUAUCUUUUAUCAAUUAUCACUCAUCCACUCUCUUCUGAUCUGUAUCUAGGGUUUCUCUGUUUUUCCCCCCUCAUUUUCUCCUCUUUUUCUUUCUCUCUUAUUCUAAAUCACAAUCCCCAUAUCUAUUCAAAUUUCAAUAUUCCAUUUUUCAACUCAAAUCAACUCGCCGGGUCUACACAGCCCACCAAGUGAGUCACUCUCAUUCUCUUUUUUUCUUUCAAACAAAUCAUUUCACCCUGUUGUUUUUGUUUUUCUUUUGGGUAGUUGUAGUUGUUGAUUUUCUUUUAAUUUUUAUUUUUCUGGUUAAAAUAAAAGUCUUUUUGUUUGGUUUUGAUUUAGUCCACGACUUGGUCAAACCAAACACUUGACGAUCACGAACCAUGAAGAUGAUUUCUUCCUACACGAGCCCCGGUUAGCUUCCGAAGAGAAAAUCUAUUCGAUCAAAUUUAUAUAUUAGCAGAAUAUAUAAAUUACCACCAACACAAUAAUGAAUGAACGAGGGCAUUUAGCUUGGCCAAUCUUAUCUCUCUCUAUUCUUAGCAACACCAAAUGAGAUUUUUAGAAUUUCUGGUCGGCUUCUGCAAAAUAGUAUCCUCUUCUCUCUUUAUGCUUUUUAUUUUAUUUAUUCUCUUUGUAUGAAUUUAUGUUGUUGGUUUGGGCGAAAAUCGAAGUCGAGUACAAUCGAUCUAAUUAUUGUUACUAGAUUCGCGAAGUAUUUUAACUUGAUAAUAAGAAAACAGAGAUUUUGAAUCUGUUGUUGGAGCUUUUAUAAUUUAGAUGUGUUUAGUUAAUUGAGAAAGAACAGAUAAAGAACAAAUGGAUGGAAGGCAAACGAGAAAGAGCGAGAUUUAGAGAUAACAAUAAAUCUGCGGAGAAGGCAAAAACCAAUAAGAAAUCGAGAAAAAAUGAAUGACUCAAAUGAGAAACAAGAAGAUAAAAGAAGGGCAACGAUAACAACAUAGUCAGUGCAAAUGAACUCUCAAACGAUGGAGGUAUUUGCAGCAGCGGAUUUAGCGGCAAUCAAAAUGGAAAAUAGAGACUGGGUCUGCGAAUUCGGAGAAUUGAAUUGAGGGUUUAAGUGAUUCGAUCAGCACAAGAAUUACAACCGGCCACAACGGUUGUAAGUAGCUGGAUCAAUUAUGUAAUAAUUAAUUUCAGCAAUUAGAUCUGAUAAGGAGGCAUCCAACGGCUUUGUUGAAUAAAAACAAAACUGUUGCACCGUACAAUAGUUGUAACAUAGGCGGACCCCCCAACAUGUAUAUAAUAUCUAAUCC
rnacentral:lncRNA from 1 species